rnacentral:tRNA from 2 species
GGGGAUGUAGCUAAGUUGGUAGAGUGUUUGCCUAGCGUACAAAGCUCUGGGUUUGAUCCCUAGCAUGCCCU